rnacentral:rRNA from 1 species
AUUGAACGCUGGCGGCAGGCUUAACACAUGCAAGUCGAACGAGUGGCGGACGGGUGAGUAAUGCCUGGGAAACGACCCGAUGGAGGGGGAUAACUAAGGAGAACUGUAGCUAAUACCGCGUUCCCUAGGAGGAGCCCAUGUGGGAUUAGGGAGUUGGUGGGGUAAAGGCUCACCAAGCCGACGGUCUCUAGCUGGUCUGAGAGGAUGACCCGACCCCCUGGGACUGAGACACUUCCCCGACUCCUACGGGAGGCAGCAGUGGGGAAUAUUGCGCAAGUGGGGCAACCUGACGCAGCCAUGCCGCGGGAAUGAAGAAGGCCUUCGGGUUGUAAAGUUCUUUCGGUAGCGAGGCGUUACCUACAGAAGAAGCACCGGCUAACUCCGUGCCAGCAGCCGCGGUAAUAC